UUUGCUGAGAUUUGGAGCUAUCCGUGGAGGGUAGACAGAUCCGUGGGUGGUUGGAUCGAUGAAGACUCGGACUCUGUUCCGAAGCAGGGGUUGCGGAAGGAACUCUUGGACGCGGCUGGGAUGUGGAAGCUUGAUCCGAUCUGCAGAUGAUGCAUGAGCUGAUCCGGAUUGAACGCCUGGGCCUUAUCCCGUGGAUACCGGACUCAAUCCGGGAGAAAGGAAGCUUGGGAAUGGCUGUGAAAUGAUCCGGAAGCUGGGGAUAAGGAUGUAAUCCAUGAUAGAGUUAAUCCGAAUGGGAUGUGAGGAAGAAACUCGGGUUGGGAUACGAGUGGUUCUCAUCCGGAAGUUGGGAAAGAUGCGAACGAGAUGCAGGGGAUGAACUUGGAUGUUGGGAUCUCGGAUGAGAGAAAUCUGGAAGGGCUUCAACGUGGAGAAGAUCUUGGAUGGCUGCUGGGAGAUAGCUGGUUCAUCUCGUGGAUAAGCUGACACUCUGUUCCAAACGGGAUAGGCUGCGGAUGUUUGGGAGAUAUCUAGAAUGAAUCCGGGUGAAGAGGAUCACGGGAUAAGCUUGGAAUUCGGAAGAAGAGGGUGGCUGCUGGCUUGGUUUUGUUCAAGAGAUAAGGUUGCGGCUGGAACAGGGGAGUUA
rnacentral:lncRNA from 1 species